rnacentral:sRNA from 1 species
AGAGGACAAACUUAUUU